rnacentral:rRNA from 1 species
UACGAAGGGGGCUAGCGUUGCUCGGAAUUACUGGGCGUAAAGGGCUCGUAGGUGGCCAACUAAGUCAGACGUGAAAUCCCCAGGCUUAACCUGGGAACUGCGUCUGAUACUGGAUGGCUUGAAUUCGGGAGAGGGAUGCAGAAUUCCAGGUGUAGCGGUGAAAUGCGUAGAUAUCUGGAGGAAUACCGGUGGCGAAGGCGGCAUCCUGGACCGAGAUUGACACUGAUGAGCGAAAGCCAGGGGAGCAAACGGG